rnacentral:rRNA from 1 species
GACAGAGGGUGCAAACGUUGUUCGGAUUUACUGGGCGUAAAGCGCGUGUAGGCGGCUUUGCAAGUCGGAUGUGAAAUCCCACGGCUCAACCGUGGAAGUGCAUCCGAAACUGCAUCGCUGGAGUCUCGGAGAGGAAGGUGGAAUGCUUGGUGUAGAGGUGAAAUUCGUAGAUAUCAAGCAGAACACCUGCGGCGAAGGCGGCCUUCUGGACGAUGACUGACGCUGAGACGCGAAGGCGUGGGGAGCAAACAGG